rnacentral:rRNA from 1 species
GGCAGCAUAGAGUAGCAAUACUUUGAUGGCGACCGGCGCACGGGUGAGUAACACGUAUGCAACCUACCUACAUCAGGGGAAUAACCCGGAGAAAUUCGGACUAAUACCGCAUAAUACAGGGAUGCCGCAUGGCAAUAUUUGUUAAAGAUUUAUCGGAUGUAGAUGGGCAUGCGUUCCAUUAGCUAGUUGGUAAGGUAACGGCUUACCAAGGCAACGAUGGAUAGGGGAACUGAGAGGUUUGUCCCCCACACUGGAACUGAGACGCGGACCAGACUCCUACGGGAGGCAGCAGUGAGGAAUAUUGGUCAAUGGACGAGAGUCUGAACCAGCCAAAUCGCGUGAAGGAAGACUGCCCUACGGGUUGUAAACUUCUUUUGUACAGGAAUAAAAGACAUUACGUGUAAUGUAUUGCAUGUACUGUACGAAUAAGCAUCGGCUAACUCCGUGCCAGCAGCCGCGGUAAUACGGAGGAUGCGAGCGUUAUCCGGAUUUAUUGGGUUUAAAGGGUGCGCAGGCGGGAUUUUAAGUCAGCGGUGAAAUUUUCAGGCUCAACCUGAACACUGCCGUUGAAACUGGGAUUCUUGAGUAUGGAUGAAGUAGGCGGAAUUCGUUGUGUAGCGGUGACAUGCUUAGAUAUAACGAGGAACUCCGAUUGCGUAGGCAGCUUACUAAGCCAUAACUGACGCUCAAGCGCGAAAGCGUGGGGAUCAAACAGGAUUAGAUACCCUGGUAGUCCACGCCGUANACGAUGAUUACUAGUUGUUUGCGAUAUACCGUAAGUGACUAAGCGAAAGCGAUAAGUAAUCCACCUGGGGAGUACGCCGGNCACNNNGAAACUCAAAGGAAUUGACGGG